rnacentral:lncRNA from 1 species
AUCGAGAUACGAUUAGAAGAGAUGCCAAGAGAAAUCUAUCAGAUCACAAAGACUAUAUAGAGUUAAAGAUGUCCAAAGAAUUCAACGUGUUUAACAGUCGACUUCUUAAUGUGUCCCAGGGUCUUGCUGAAGCCCAGCUGGAUCGAGAUGCUAUCAGAAGAGAUGCCCAGAGAAAUCUGUCACUUCACCAGGACUAUAUAGGUGAGAGGAUAAAGGAAAUGUUUCUAGUCCUUGUCGGUCUUCAAGGAUCUUUUCUGGUCCUUACAGCUCAAGGAAGGAGAGAGUGGGGCCAACGGGGUCAGGUGCAGGGCUGGUGAACUUGAUGUAGCUCCUUGGACUUCACUGGAGCUGAUCAGACAUACAUCAGCUGGGGAUCUGACCCCAGCUCAGACAGGAC